UACGUAGGGUGCAAGCGUUGUCCGGAAUUAUUGGGCGUAAAGAGCUCGUAGGCGGUUUGUUGCGUCGGCUGUGAAAUCCCGAGGCUCAACCUCGGGUCUGCAGUCGAUACGAGCAAACUAGAGUGUUGCAGGGGAGACUGGAAUUCCUGGUGUAGCGGUGAAAUGCGCAGAUAUCAGGAAGAACACCCGUGGCUAAGGCGGUUCUCUAGUACGGUACUGACGCUGAGGCGCGAAAGCGUGGGGAGCAAACAGG
rnacentral:rRNA from 1 species